rnacentral:lncRNA from 1 species
GUUAUUUCUUACUCCUAAACUUCUUGUGGAGCUCCUUCCUACAGUUAGGAACUUCCUUCUGGAGUUAUAAGUUUUCUUCAAAUGUAGCACUCUAUUCCAUGUCGAAAGUCACCAAGUUUUUGAGUUCACCACGGGGACGACGGGUCUGCGACGGUGCUACCGCACGUCUGUCCAGUGAGAAGUAACGCCUGCAGAAGAGCAGUGUCCAAUAUUGCCGCCAUCUCUCUAGCACGCGAAUCGAGGGGUAUGUUGACUCUGCCCUUAGUUGACCGCUUGGGGCGACUGCUUUCGUAAGAAACAAAGGUAUGCCCGACAGCAUCCGAGACAACCUCGUCUGUCCCCUCAGCAGCCGCCUUUCCGAUUAUGUAACUCCGCUUUUUCUGAAGGAACUUAACCAGCGCCAUUAAAGUAUUGUGAGACAUUUUCUUGGACUCGAGAGCUGAAUUCUCGUCGUAUUCCAGUAUAUUAGAAGAAGAUUGUUGUUCCAUAUCAUCUGAAAUACCCGAAUUGCCCCUUGAUAAAUAUGCCUCACCGCCCACAUCCAAGAACUUAUCGGGUUCACUUAUAACAGAUGAUUUGGGAAUCACGAUAGAUGGAUAUAGAGAGAGUACGUAUGUUAUUUCGACUUGGGAUGCCACAAAGUGCUCCAUUGCCUCUUCAUAGCUCCCGUUUUCAAACAAAUAAUGUGCAUAUCUAAUAUGAAUUGAUUGCUCCUUUGAGGCUCGAAGGCUAGAAUCUUCUGGGGGAAGCAGCUUACAUAACGCCAAAGCUUCCUCAAAAUUUCCAGAUGCCGUUAGUUGUACAAUCUG